AAGGAAUCGCAGCUCCCUCAUUAUAAUUUGGAGCACUUCCUCUUGGAGUCUCAGCGGUAAUGCCAGAAGUUCAGCUACCCCAGGGCCACCAUGUUGUGAGGAUGCCAUGUCACAUGGAGAGAAAGGUGCUCCUGGAAUGUGGAGGGAGAGUAAUGUGGGGCUCUCUCGUGACUCUGGUCCUGGGAUUUAUGGAGCAAACAGGAUGAAGCAAACAUGAAAAGGCAGAAUGAGAUACUGUCUUUUGGUGUUCUUUCUUCAUUUUAAGAAGACAGAUAUAAGUGAUUAGACCGAGACUACAUGAUAAAUAAAG